UUAAUGAGAGUUUGAUCCUGGCUCAGGACGAACGCUGGCGGCGUGCCUAAUACAUGCAAGUAGAACGCUGAUGUUUGGUGUUUACACUAGACUGAUGAGUUGCGAACGGGUGAGUAACGCGUAGGUAACCUGCCUCAUAGCGGGGGAUAACUAUUGGAAACGAUAGCUAAUACCGCAUAAGAGUAUUAACACAUGUUAGUUAUUUAAAAGGAGCAAUUGCUUCACUGUGAGAUGGACCUGCGUUGUAUUAGCUAGUUGGUGAGGUAAAGGCUCACCAAGGCGACGAUACAUAGCCGACCUGAGAGGGUGAUCGGCCACACUGGGACUGAGACACGGCCCAGACUCCUACGGGAGGCAGCAGUAGGGAAUCUUCGGCAAUGGACGGAAGUCUGACCGAGCAACGCCGC
rnacentral:rRNA from 1 species